GAUCCUGGCUCAGGACGAACGCUGGCGGCGUGCUUAACACAUGCAAGUCGAACGAGAAUCUAUGGAACGAGGAUUCGUCCAAGUGAAAUAGAGGACAGUGGCGGACGGGUGAGUAACGCGUGAGGAACCUGCCUUUCAGAGGGGGACAACAGUUGGAAACGACUGCUAAUACCGCAUAACGCAUAGAAGUCGCAUGGCUUUUAUGCCAAAGAUUUAUCGCUGAAAGAUGGCCUCGCGU
rnacentral:rRNA from 1 species